rnacentral:lncRNA from 1 species
GCACAGCCACACAUCAGGUGUGGGGGGGCGGGGGGAAGCCCUCCUGGACCAAGAACUCUGUCUUUUGCUAUAGCAGACACGCUCAUCUUCAUCCCUGGACCACUUUCCAAAUACCAGGAAUAGCCUCUCGGUCUGGAGGAAUCUACUCCCGAGGUUGCCCUUGGCAAAAGCAGAAUAAGAAAACACCCACAGUUCUCAUUGUCAUGGUUUCAGCCAAGACAGCUUACUAUGACCUUUCCGUACAUAGCAUGAACUGUGACGGAUGUAUUGUCUAAGCAGCUCCUCACCUGCACAGCCAUGCUGGCAGGAGUAGCAAUUUCAGCCUGCCCAAAUUUUCACUCUUAAAAGAGCAAGAUGACCAGGAAGCAGCUGCUGUGCCCUCCCAGAAGGGAAACGGCCAGGAUCUGUGGGCACCCAGAGGGAUCCCUUGGGCUACAGUGAUCUACUUUUCAAAUGACUGCAGACCUCUCCAGCUUUUCACAGUUGGCUCCCAGCCCCUGGAGCAUCCAUCAGGUUCUGAAGACAGGCCCAAGCAGCCAAAGGGAGAGACUCACCUAAAACCCUGAUGGAGAAGUCACUACAGGUUGACGGGGCAGCCAGGUGGGAGGCGAUCCCAUAGCUGAACCCCAUUGACUGCGUCCCUGCUCUUCCUAACCGCCACGUCCCUCGCCCCUCUGAGGACGCGAGCUGCAGCCCCGGCGCCCUGGAUGGAGCUCUGCGCUGUGGCUGGCAGGCAGGAAGCUGCUCCUGGCCGCUCCGGAGGCAGAGGAUAUUUGAAGACCCCCAAGAGGACGCCUGAAACCGUGGAGUGUAUGAAAGUGUAUGAAAGUGCUUGCACUCAGUUGUGUCCGACUCUUGGCAACUCCAUGAACUAUAGAUCGCUGGGCUCCUCAUUCCAUGGGAUUUUCCAGGCAAGAAUACUGGAGUGGGCUGCCACUUCCUUCUCCAGGGGAAACUUCCCAACCCAGGGAUCAAACCUGUGCCUCUUGCAUCUCCUGAACUGGCAGGCCAAUUCUUUACCACUAGCCCCAUCUGGGAAGCACCAUGGAUAGUACAGAAUCCUUUAUAUACUAUGUUUUUUCCAAAAUUGAUGGGUAGGUCGCGUAUAUAGCCUGGGUACACUGGGCAAAGGGAUGAGUUCUACCCCGGUGUUUGUCCCUAAAUCACAUGGUUUCAUCAUGCUACUCAGAAUGACACAGUUUAAAACGUAUGAAUUCUUUGUCUGGAAUUUUCUAUUCGAUAUUUUUGGACUUGGAUCGACCGCAGAUAACUGAAAGUGCAGAACUGCAUGAAAGAGGGCACUGCUGUGCCUACCUCAUUCUAUCGCUGUAAGCAUUAUAGGAUGCAAUGUGUGCAUGCAAAGGCUGAAAAAGUGCCUGGCACAGAGUCACUUGCAGUAAAUAGUAGUUAUUUAUAUAUGCUAAUUAAUUGCUGGAGAAGACUCUUGAGAGUCCCUUGGACAGCAAGGAGAUCAAACCAUUCAAUCAAUCCUAAAGGCAAUCAGUCCUAAAUAUUUAUUGGAAGGACUGAUGCUGAAGCUGAAGCUCCAAGACUUUGGCCACCUGAUGUGAAAAACUGACUCACUAGAAAAGACCCUGAUGCUGGGAAAGAUUGAAGGCAGGAGGAGAAGGGGACAACAGAGGAUGAGAUGGUUGGAUUAUAUCACCUACUCGAUGGACAUGAGUUUGAGCAAGCUCUAGGAGCUGGUGAUGGACAGGUAAGCCUGGCAUCCUGCAGUCCAUGCGGUUGAAGAAAGCAGGACAUGACUGAGCGACUGGACUGAACUGAACUGAAUGAUAAGAAAAUCAAGGACCAUCAAAUCAACUAUAUUAUAGUAAUAUCAAAUUUUUCUUUUUUUGGCUGUGUUGCACAGCUUAUGGGAUCUCAGUUCCCCAACAAGGGAUUGAACCUGGGUCAUAGCAAUGAAAGCACUGAGUCCUAGCCACUAGAUCAUCAGGCAGUUCUCUCUUGAAAUACUUUUAAAAUGGAAUAUUACUGUCCUCUUGACAUAGUUUGGUAUUUUCUGAACUUUUUUGCAUGCAAAUAUAAAAAUGCCCUAUAAUUAAAAUAUAUACGCUUCAGUCGUGUCCGACUCUGUGUGAUCCCAUAGACGGCAGCCCACCGAGCUUCCUUGUCCCUGGGAUUCUCCAGGCAAGAACACUGGAGUGGGUUGCCAUUUCCUUCUCCAAUGCAUUAAAGUGAAAAGUGAAAGUGAAGUCGCUCAGUCAUGUCCAGCUCUUAGCAACCCCAUGGACUGCAGCCCACCAGGCUCCUCCAUCCAUGGGAUUUUCCAGUCAAGAGUACUGGAGUGGGGUGCCGUUGCCUUCUCCGAUAAAAAUAAGCACAUUCAAAUGACAGAAAUCAUUAAUAAGCUUUUAGAAAAUAAAUUUGGCUUUUAAAAUUUGGUGUUUAAAAGAUUGAGAGACACACUCAAAUUUAGAGUCUAUAUUAGCAGGAAGGCAUUAAUCCUGCUUGUUCAGUCAAGGUCACUGGUACAAAUGCUGGUGAGGGUUGAUGAACCAAUUUGCUAAGAUCAUGUCAUUACUAAUGGACUUCCUUGUAACUCAGAUAGUAAAGAAUCUGCCUACAUUGCAGGAGAUCUCUGGGUCAGGACCCCUGGAAAAGGGAAUGGCAAACCACUCCAGUAUUCUCUCCUGGAGAAUCCCAUGGACACAGGAGGACAGAGGACUACAGUCUGUGGGAUCCCAAAGAGUAGGACAUGACUGAGCAACUAUCACUACACUGUCAUUACUAAGAGUCCCUUCCUGACUGCAGACAAUAAGAUGGACACGGGUACCUACUUAGGGUUGGGACCAAAAAAGAAUGUGUCAUACACCUAGAAAUUAUGGAAGAACCUACCAUUUUCAAUGUCAACUGCAUCAAAUUCUAUAAUUUUGUGUUAAUUAAACCAGUAGCUAAGGUCAACUAAAUUCUUCAUUUUCUAACUAGUUUUGAUGCACCAAUACAAACAUACAAUAUCAAAUUGUUAACUAUUAGUUGUGGCCUGUCAAUUCAAUCACCUUAAAAACUGAGAUUUUUCUAAAGGCAAAAUAAUUAAAAUGUAACAUAAACAUUUAUUUUCAAGCAUUAACAAAAAGACACUACAUCCACAUUAUUUUUAAUAAGAAUUUAUGGCAUAAAAAUAUCCUAAGUGUAUUUUCACAAACUCUAUGUGAC